rnacentral:rRNA from 1 species
GUCCACGCCGUAAACGAUGGAUACUAGCUGUUGGGAGCAAUCUCAGUGGCUAAGCGAAAGUGAUAAGUAUCCCACCUGGGGAGUACGUUCGCAAGAAUGAAACUCAAAGGAAUUGACGGGGGCCCGCACAAGCGGUGGAGCAUGUGGUUUAAUUCGAUGAUACGCGAGGAACCUUACCAGGGCUUAAAUGUAGAUUGACAGGACUGGAAACAGUUUUUUCUCGGACAAUUUACAAGGUGCUGCAUGGUUGUCGU